rnacentral:rRNA from 1 species
UACGUAGGGACCGAGCGUUGUCCGGAUUCAUUGGGCGUAAAGAGCUCGUAGGCGGCUGCUCAAGUCGAAUGUGAAACCUCGAGGCUUAACCUCGAGCCUGCAUUCGAUACUGGGCGGCUAGAGUCUGGUAGGGGGAUCUGGAAUUCCUGGUGUAGCGGUGGAAUGCGCAGAUAUCAGGAGGAACACCGGUGGCGAAGGCGGCAUCCUGGACCGGUAUUGACGCUGAGGCGCGAAAGCCCAGGGGAGGCAAACGGG